rnacentral:rRNA from 1 species
CAGCUAGCUUAUUCACCAACAUAACCAAACAAUAUAAAUAAAAUAGAAUAAACCAAAUACCAAAAACUAAACCAUUCUUUUACCUGAGUAUGGGAGACAGAAAAGGUUCAACCAAAGCAAUAGAAAUAGUACCGCAAGGGAAAGCUGAAAGAGAAAUGAAAUAACCCAUAUAAGUAUUAAAAAGCAAAGAUUAAACCUUGUACCUUUUGCAUCAUGAUUUAGCCAGUAAACACAAGCAAAGAGACCUUUAGUUUGAAACCCCGAAACCAGGUGAGCUACCCCGAGACAGCCUAUUAAGGGCCAACCCGUCUCUGUGGCAAAAGAGUGGGAAGAGCUCCGGGUAGAAGUGACAGACCUACCGAACCUGGUGAUAGCUGGUUGCCUAAGAAAUGAAUAGAAGUUCAGCCUCGUACACCUCAAAUCAAACAAGCACUAACCAAGAUAUCAAGAGAAAAAUACGAGAGUUAGUUGAAGGGGGUACAGCCCCUUUAACAAAGGAUACAACCUUAUCCAGGAGGAUAAAGAUCAUAAUAUUUAAAAUAUACUGUUCUAGUGGGCCUAAGAGCAGCCACCUAAACAGAAAGCGUUAAAGCUCAGACAGAAAGAAGUUUAUUAUUCUGAUAAAAAAUCUUACUCCCCUAAAUACUAUUAGGCUAACCCAUGCCCCCAUGGAAGAAAUUAUGCUAAAAUGAGUAACAAGAAGGCUCGCCCUUCUCCCAGCACAAGUGUAAGCCAAACCGGACCAACCAUUGGCAAUUAACGAACUCAACCCAAGAGAGCAAUGUGAACCAUAAAAAAAACAAGGAAAACCCACACUUAACAAUCGUUAUUCCCACACUGGAGUGCUAUUAAAGGAAAGACUAAAAGAAAAGGAAGGAACUCGGCAAACACAAGCCUCGCCUGUUUACCAAAAACAUCGCCUCCUGCAACACAACCAUGUAUAGGAGGUCCAGCCUGCCCAGUGACUACAAGUUCAACGGCCGCGGUAUUUUGACCGUGCAAAGGUAGCGCAAUCACUUGUCUUUUAAAUAGAGACCUGUAUGAAUGGCUAAACGAGGGCUUAACUGUCUCCCCUUUCAAGUCAGUGAAAUUGAUCUGCCCGUGCAGAAGCG